GACGAACGCUGGCGGCGUGCUUAACACAUGCAAGUCGAACGGUAAGGCCCUUCGGGGUACACGAGUGGCGAACGGGUGAGUAACACGUGGGUGAUCUGCCCUGCACUUCGGGAUAAGCCUGGGAAACUGGGUCUAAUACCGGAUAGGACCCUGGGAUGCAUGUCCUGGGGUGGAAAGCUUUUGCGGUGUGGGAGGGGCCCGCGGACUAUCAGCUUGUUGGUGGGGUGAUGGCCUACCAAGGCGACGACGGGUAGCCGGCCUGAGAGGGUGACCGGCCACACGGGGACUGAGAUACGGCCCAGACACCGACGGGAGGCAGCAGUGGGGAAUAUUGCACAAUGGGCGCAAGCCUGAUGCAGCGACGCCGCGUGAGGGAUGACGGCCUUCGGGUUGUAAACCUCUUUCAGCACCGACGAAGCGCAAGUGACGGUAGGUGCAGAAGAAGGACCGGCCAACUACGUGCCAGCCGCCGCCGUAA
rnacentral:rRNA from 1 species